rnacentral:rRNA from 1 species
AUUGAACGCUGGCGGCAGGCCUAACACAUGCAAGUCGAGCGGAUGAGGGAAGCUUGCUUCCCGAUUUAGCGGCGGACGGGUGAGUAAUGCCUAGGAAUCUGCCUAUUAGUGGGGGAUAACGUUCCGAAAGGAACGCUAAUACCGCAUACGUCCUACGGGAGAAAGUGGGGGAUCUUCGGACCUCACGCUAAUAGAUGAGCCUAGGUCGGAUUAGCUAGUUGGUGGGGUAACGGCUCACCAAGGCGACGAUCCGGAGCUGGUCUGAGAGGAUGAUCAGCCACACUGGAACUGAGACACGGUCCAGACUCCUACGGGAGGCAGCAGUGGGGAAUAUUGGACAGUGGGCGAAAGCCUGAUCCAGCCAUGCCGCGUGUGUGAAGAAGGUCUUCGGAUUGUAAAGCACUUUAAGUUGGGAGGAAGGGUUGUAAGCUAAUAUCUUGCAGCUUUGACGUUACCAACAGAAUAAGCACCGGCUAACUCUGUGCCAGCCGCCGCAGUAACAC